UUCCAGACUCCUACGGGAGGCAGCAGUGGGGAAUAUUGCACAAUGGGGGAAACCCUGAUGCAGCGACGCCGCGUGAGCGAUGAAGUAUUUCGGUAUGUAAAGCUCUAUCAGCAGGGAAGAAAAUGACGGUACCUGACUAAGAAGCCCCGGCUAACUACGUGCCAGCAGCCGCGGUAAUACGUAGGGGGCAAGCGUUAUCCGGAUUUACUGGGUGUAAAGGGAGCGUAGACGGCUGUGCAAGCCAGAUGUGAAAGCCCGGGGCUCAACCCCGGGACUGCAUUUGGAACUGUGUGGCUGGAGUGUCGGAGAGGCAGGCGGAAUUCCUAGUGUAGCGGUGAAAUGCGUAGAUAUUAGGAGGAACACCAGUGGCGAAGGCGGCCUGCUGGACGAUGACUGACGUUGAGGCUCGAAAGCGUGGGGAGCAAACAGGAUUAGAUACCCCAGUACAA
rnacentral:rRNA from 1 species